ensembl:lncRNA
CAAAGAAAACCAGCAGUAUCAUCUCAGUCUGCUCAGCCUGCUGAUUAAAGGACUGGGAAUAUGGAAAGAGGGAAAACGGGUGCUGCUGGCUGCAUGCAAACACCAGAGUGCUACAGCACUCUACCUGGAACUCUCUGCAGGUUUGCUUUCAGCUGGGACAGUUAUUUAUUUUUUUUCAUAGUGUCUAAUACCAUGCUAUGUUUUGGCUUUGGGAGAAAACAAUGUUACUACCACAUGUUUUUGUUCUUGCUGAGCAGUGUUGUACAGAACCAAUGAUGUUUCAACUUCUGGUACUGCGCUGUCAGUGACGGGGGCUUCAGGGCACAGCAGACAGACCAUGACAGCUGACCUGAACUGGCCAAAGGGAUACUUCAUGCAGUAUAGCAUCACGUGAAAAUACUGUAAAACUGAGGGAAGUUGGCUGGAUGGGUAACCACUGCUUGGAGACUGACUGGGCACCAGCUGGUGGGUGAUGAGCAAUUGCAUUGUAAAUCACUUGUCUGGUAAAUGCAUAUUAUUACCAUUACUAUUAAUAUUUUCCUGGACAAUCCUUUAGAAAUUUUGAACAACCUUAUGCAGACUACAAAAAUUACAGUAUCUCACUGUCUGCCAAACAGCAAUAACUACCUACAGGGCAAGUCCUGACACAGCAGAAGGAAUGAUUUGAAACUAUUCCUAAAUAGAAAACAUCUGAACACUAAAAAUACGACUCUAUAUAUUCUUAUAGAUACCUGUAGUUCUUUCCAAUUCUGAAAUUACAAGGUCAUCUGACUUUAAAUCUCAUUUAAGCCAUUAAAUCUCACUCACUCAUAAAUCAAAUGUCUUGGAUUCAAUCAAAAAUACGAGAAACUCAUCCUAUCUUGAGCUGAAGAAGCGAAGGGGGAGGGAACCCACUCUGUCCCCUGUGUUUUGUCAUGGUUGAUCAUAUUUUAUUGUUUAGAAAGUAAACUCUGAUUUUUAAACUGAAUCCACUGUUUGAACAUCCAGCUACCAGUUUUGGCUACAUCUUCAUGUAUUUUUCAACAUAGUAAUCACCAUUAGCUGAUUUGUGUGGAUGAGCUGAUUGACACACUCUUCAUUCUGUGGGGCAACAGCUCUGCAUGGCUGUCCAGAAUGUGGCUUAUCUUUCACAUCAAUGUCACCGCUGCUGAAAUGCACCACCCACUGCCUCACUGUGCUCACAUCCAUUGGUUGGUCUCCACAAAUAUUCAGCAAGCAUUGAUGAAUGUCAGUAGGAGCCAUUUUUUCUGCAUGGAGGAAUUCAACUCCACACCAUUACUUCACAUGCACUUUGAUUUGUCAGAUGGCCCCUCUGCUGCCACCUGUCACGUGGCAACAAAAUGUAACGGGAUAUUGGUGGGAAGGUUCAGCCUCUACUGUCACACCACCAACAUUCACCUUGGAUGUCAUGGGCCAAUAUAAUAAAGUAGAAGGUGUUACUUUUGGAGCAGUCAUCAUAUAAAUACUUUCAUAUUUGGACACGUUAAGACAUAACUUAUUUAAAUUGUUCGAUUUCCAGACUAAUCCAGCCUAUGUGAUUGUUCUGCAUUAUUGUACUUCUUCUCAUUACUCACCCAGCCCACCACCACUGUUAAAAUGACAAUAUUUUUAGAUGGAGGUGUUGAGCCAGAUACCGUAACUAAGCCUUGACCUCUAUGAACAAUCCAGCUUUGGUUAUUUCUUCAGAUCCAUUAGCCCAUCAGCUUUUAAACCAUUAAAUAUGCUGCACUGACGCUAAGUGAGACUAAGUGAGUAGUAUGAAGCACUCUACCAAAGUUCACUCUACACAGUUUUGUUCUCAAGCUUCUUACCUACGCAAGUGAUGAAGAUAUACUUGUCAAGAUCUUUUGUCCCUAAGCCAUACUUACUGGUGUUAGUUAUAGUCUUAUCCUUUUAUUCCUUAUCAAAGAAAUCUUGUGUUUUCUUAUCCAUUAUUUUAAUGAGGACUGACUUUAACACGAUGGGCUGCUUUACUAGUACCUGACUCAUCUUGCUUAGCCAAAUGGGAACUGGUCCUGACACUGCUCUUUCUGAAACGUUUUGAGAUGUACAUUUAUUACACUAAAUGGACCAUCUAUCUCCUCCAGUGACAGAGGCAGGCAGGAGUGUAUUUUUAAGAAGGUACCACUCUACACUUGCCUAGUGAAAAGUACAAGUGUAGGGCAUUUUCUACUUGUCACUGUCCAGAAAUACCUUAUGAGGUCUAACAGACCUUUGAUCUGGCAGCCUUUUCUUUAUUAUGAUUACUUAUAAGACUCCAGGGUUAUCUGGAACUGCUGAUCGAAUAAUAUACAUAGAAUGAUUUCUCAUCCCUCAUACUUCAUUUUUAGACACCCUUUUACAAGGAAUCCUUUUCAGUAUAACUAUCCCAAAUACACUGUGCAUGAAAAAUGCUCCUAGUACAGUUGUAGCUUAUACUGUAAACAACCACUUUGGUUAUUAAGAUUUAUGCCAUACUUCUUCCUAAGUAAAAUAAUUCUAAUAAUGGAAUUAGCCUUGCUGACAAACCUAUCCCAGCAAAAGUUCACAAUUUAAAACCUGCCCAGUGCUUGUGCACUGAAAACAGCUUUAUUUAAUCUCCAUGAACCACAAACACAUCUAGCUAUUGCUCCUACUUUGAAAAUGAGAACACUUAACUCCAGCACCCCUCUUUCAUCUGCUGAUGGAAAUACACCUUUGCUUAAACCUGCUGUUCCUAAUGUACUACAAAGCUCUUUGUCCUCUACUUUCCGUGUCAAGAGCAGUUUCAGUAGCCAUAGCAAGCAGUAAAAAAACAAGAACACAAACACUCAGAGGUCUAGGGUUUUGAAGUCCACAUUUGUUCAAAAGAGAUGUAGUCUUUGCUAUGUACCGUGGGUUGCUUAGGUGAAUAGCAGAGAUGUCACUAAUAGAAGUAUUUCAUUCUUCCUGUGUAUCACUAAUGAUUUAGCAGAGUACUCUGGUUUUCACACAUACAAGUUUUUAUAUUUAACUACAUCAAACUUCUGACUGUUACGUAGUUAGUUUCAAAAGUACAUCGCACUCAGCUAACGUGAAAAGAUAUAUUUCUCCAAUUAUUUCUUUCAGUAAGUUAGCAGCUACUAGUUACGAAGUAAACCUUUCUACCACCACUAUAAGCAACUUUCUUUAUUUUCCUUAUUUACUUAUUUUUAAUUAAACAAUUUCAGGUUAAGUAUUGAGACAAGAACAAUAUUAAUAACCAAAACAGAAAAGAAAAGAGUUUAGACCCUUGGAUAAGAAUAUUUCCUCUCCACUAAAAGGUUUCAAAUAUAAAUGGGAAGACACAAAAAUUUAUUUGUACAAGGGCUGCUCUGAAAGUAACACCUCCCAUUUUAUUACGUUGGUCCAUGAUGUCAGAGGUGGAUGUUGGUCAUGUGGUAUUAGAGGCUGAACCUUCCCACCAAUAUUAUAUUACAUUUUGUUGUCAUACAAUAGGUGGCAGCAGAAGGGCAGUCAGUCAAAACAGCGCCUGACAUGGAAGCGCAUAUGAAAGAAAAGCGUAAACAAUUGCACCCAUUGAUAUUCAUUGAUGCUUGAUGAAUAUUUACGGAUACCAAAAGUUUUCAAGCAUGUUCCUGCUCUUGGACUCCCUCAUUACAUGUGAGAGAAGAAAUGGCUGUGAGUAUCAGUUGUGAAAACGGCUUCCUUUCUGGCAGCUCAAGAAAUGGGAGUUCCCCCAUUCCUGAUCAUGCCGGGCUUACAGGCUGGCAUGAGAAACAUUAGUAGCUGGGGAUAACAUUUAGGUGAUGAAUAGAUGAGGACAAAUAGUCUCUCCUUAAUGACCCAAAAGCUGCUGUUACCUGACUCUUGAGCAGCAAGGAAAAAGAAGAUAGAGGUGGAAUGGUUAUAUGCUGACAGGAUGAAUAACCAAGAAUGACCAGAAAAAAAAGUUAAUAUUCAUAUGUUCACAAGACAUCUGGCGAUAUGCCUCCCAGUGACAUCAUAGCUUUUUUGACAUCUCUCCUUCCAAUGACCUAACGUUUGGAUAUGCUGAAUAUUUGAGGGUAACUUGCCACAUAUUCUGGACUUCCAUUCCUCAGCUGAAUGACUAAUUUGUAUGUGCUCAGAACUAAACAGUUUGUGGGAUGCCCUGCUGUUCAUUAUAAUUUUCUAUGCACUUUGAAUUUGUUGGGGAAAAAAAAAAAAGGCUUCAAAAGCAUAGAGGCAUGAAAAUGGAAGGAACCUCUGAAGAACAUCUGGUCCAAUUCCUGCUCAGAGCAGGGUCUCAAGCUACAGCAGGUUGCUUGAGGCUUUGUGCAGUUCUGUUCUGAGCAUCCCCAAAGAUGAGCGAAUUCACCAGUUUGAUCAACUUCAAGGUAUUUUUUUCCUUCUUAUAUCUCAAUUUGUGCCACCACCUCUCACUCUGACACUGAACACCCAAUGAGUAACAUUGGCAAUGUUGUCUUCACUCCCCUCAUGAGGUAUUUAAGGUAAAAUCCUCCUGAGCCACCUUUUCUUCAGCCUGAACAGUUCCAGCUCUUUCAGUCUCUCCUCAUAUAUCAAAUGCUCCAGUACCUUAACCAUUCUAGUGGCCUAUCUUCUAUGAAAUACUGUAUAAUAAAGGCCAUUAGAGGCAAGCCCCAGCCACAAAACUUACCAAUGCACAUGUGAUAAACAAUAAAUACUUUGACCUUUUAAAAAAAUGCUUAUAUGAGAUCUCACUUGCUGUUGAUUAUGAAUCAGUGAACAUCUUUCUCUGCUCUUGCCUCCUCGGCCUCUUUCAUCCUAACAAGAAUAUUAAUUUAUUUUACAUUUAUAUCACACUUAUGGUGAAAACUAACAAUUCUUUUUAAGGUAAUUAUUUUAGAAACCUGUCCUGCAAUACAAGGUUGCACUGAUUCUAUAAAAGUUUAACUAAAACUCUGGUGAAGUAAAUAGAUUUGUUUUUGAAGCGUAAUGACUUCUCCUCUGUUCACAGUACCAUGGUCAGGGUACACAUUUGCCAUGUAAGAAUUUCACAAGCAAUCCCAAAUUACUUUUAAAGCCUGUGUGUUAGGACAGGAAAGACUACAGCACAAGGGUACAGCUGAGUCAGUGCUGAGCCCAAAGCAUAGACAUGCCCAACAUAAACAUUGUGUGUGUGCUGCUCACAGCCAGAUAAGUCACGCAUGCAUCAGUUGAUAAGCGUGACAGUCAGUUUACUUCCAGUUUACUUCAAUGGUGAGAAUAGCACAAGAAGCAGUCUCCUCAAGCCCUGAUCACAUAAUUACAUGAAUUUACCUCCUUGUUGCCAUAGGGCUGCUUGUGGUGUGUAAUUUCUAAUAGCUGGAACACUCUAGGCUGCAUCUCUCAUGGAUCAACAGUGACUGUUUUCUUGAAAAACAAAAGAAAAUCUGAUUAACUUUUAGGACAAGGAGCAGAAAACACUGCCAGCCAAGCACAUCGCUUUUGACAGAACAUUCCUCCAAACGUUCUGCAGUCUAUGAAAGGAGACCCUUUCCCCACUUUCUUUUUCCCCCAUUUCUGUCUCCUUGCAUGAGCAGCACUGGGCCAAGGCACCACAGCUGCCUUUUACAAAAGUGCCAGUAGCCCUGGGGGUAGCACCGUUCCCAAUUCGUGUGGGAGCCACUUUCCCCACCAAAAUCUGGGGCCCCUCUGCUUAACUGUUGUUAUUACUGUUAGUAAUACUUGCAGGGUGCAGCCAUACCCGCUGACACAAGACCACCCGAAGCCCGAGGCCCCCUAACACCCAUCGCUCCAUCUCCGCGCCCCAAAAUCCCCCCAUAUCCGCACCCCGGGACGCCUCGGCCAGGCCGGCGGCAGAGCGGGGCCCGCCGGGCCGCACCACAACAAGGCCGGGCCGGGCCACGGGCCUGCACCGCGGGAUAGCGGCCUUAGGGCGGGGGAGGCUCCAGUAUGGAGGGGCCGGGUCGGGUGGGGGUCCCCG